GACGAACGCUGGCGGCGUGCUUAACACAUGCAAGUCGAACGGAAAGGCCCUGCUGUUGUGGGGUUCUCGAGUGGCGAACGGGUGAGUAACACGUGAGUAACCUGCCCUUGACUUUGGGAUAACUUCAGGAAACUGGGGCUAAUAUCGGAUAGGAGCUCCUGCUGCAUGGUGGGGGUUGGAAAGUUUCGGCGGUUGGGGAUGGACUCGCGGCUUAUCAGCUUGUUGGUGGGGUAGGGGCUUACCAAGGCUUUGACGGGUAGGCGGCCUGAGAGGGUGACCGGCCACAUUGGGACUGAGAUACGGCCCAGACUCCUACGGGAGGCAGCAGUGGGGAAUAUUGCACAAUGGGCGGAAGCCUGAUGCAGCAACGCCGCGUGCGGGAUGACGGCCUUCGGGUUGUAAACCGCUUUCGCCUGUGACGAAGCGUGAGUGACGGUAAUGGGUAAAGAAGCACCGGCUAACUACGUG
rnacentral:rRNA from 1 species